AAAUUGAAGAGUUUGAUCAUGGCUCAGAUUGAACGCUGGCGGCAGGCCUAACACAUGCAAGUCGAACGGUAACAGGAAGCAGCUUGCUGCUUUGCUGACGAGUGGCGGACGGGUGAGUAAUGUCUGGGAAACUGCCUGAUGGAGGGGGAUAACUACUGGAAACGGUGGCUAAUACCGCAUAAUGUCGCAAGGCCAAAGAGGGGGACCUUCGGGCCUCUUGCCAUCAGAUGUGCCCAGAUGGGAUUAGCUUGUUGGUGAGGUAACGGCUCACCAAGGCGACGAUCCCUAGCUGGUCUGAGAGGAUGACCAGCCACACUGGAACUGAGACACGGUCCAGACUCCUACGGGAGGCAGCAGUGGGGAAUAUUGCACAAUGGGCGCAAGCCUGAUGCAGCCAUGCCGCGUGUAUGAAGAAGGCCUUCGGGUUGUAAAGUACUUUCAGCGGGGAGGAAGGUGUUGCGGUUAAUAACCGCAGCAAUUGACGUUACCCGCAGAAGAAGCACCGGCUAACUCCGUGCCAGCAGCCGCGGUAAUACGGAGGGUGCAAGCGUUAAUCGGAAUUACUGGGCGUAAAGCGCACGCAGGCGGUCUGUCAAGUCGGAUGUGAAAUCCCCGGGCUCAACCUGGGAACUGCAUUCGAAACUGGCAGGCUUGAGUCUUGUAGAGGGGGGUAGAAUUCCAGGUGUAGCGGUGAAAUGCGUAGAGAUCUGGAGGAAUACCGGUGGCGAAGGCGGCCCCCUGGACAAAGACUGACGCUCAGGUGCGAAAGCGUGGGGAGCAAACAGGAUUAGAUACCCUGGUAGUCCACGCCGUAAACGAUGUCUACUUGGAGGUUGUGCCCUUGAGGCGUGGCUUCCGGAGCUAACGCGUUAAGUAGACCGCCUGGGGAGUACGGCCGCAAGGUUAAAACUCAAAUGAAUUGACGGGGGCCCGCACAAGCGGUGGAGCAUGUGGUUUAAUUCGAUGCAACGCGAAGAACCUUACCUGGUCUUGACAUCCACAGAACUUUCCAGAGAUGGAUUGGUGCCUUCGGGAACUGUGAGACAGGUGCUGCAUGGCUGUCGUCAGCUCGUGUUGUGAAAUGUUGGGUUAAGUCCCGCAACGAGCGCAACCCUUAUCCUUUGUUGCCAGCGGUCCGGCCGGGAACUCAAAGGAGACUGCCAGUGAUAAACUGGAGGAAGGUGGGGAUGACGUCAAGUCAUCAUGGCCCUUACGACCAGGGCUACACACGUGCUACAAUGGCGCAUACAAAGAGAAGCGACCUCGCGAGAGCAAGCGGACCUCAUAAAGUGCGUCGUAGUCCGGAUUGGAGUCUGCAACUCGACUCCAUGAAGUCGGAAUCGCUAGUAAUCGUGGAUCAGAAUGCCACGGUGAAUACGUUCCCGGGCCUUGUACACACCGCCCGUCACACCAUGGGAGUGGGUUGCAAAAGAAGUAGGUAGCUUAACCUUCGGGAGGGCGCUUACCACUUUGUGAUUCAUGACUGGGGUGAAGUCGUAACAAGGUAACCGUAGGGGAACCUGC
rnacentral:rRNA from 1 species